rnacentral:rRNA from 1 species
AUUGAACGCUGGCGGCAGGCCUAACACAUGCAAGUCGAACGGUAACAGGAAGCAGCUUGCUGCUUCGCUGACGAGUGGCGGACGGGUGAGUAAUGGCUGGGAAACUGUCUGAUGGAGGGGGAUAACUACUGGAAACGGUAGCUAAUACCGCAUAACGUCGCAAGACCAAAGAGGGGGACCUUAGGGCCUCUUGCCAUCGGAUGUGCCCAGAUGGGAGUAGCUAGUAGGUGGGGUAACGUCGGUCCUAGGAGACGAUCCCUAGGUGGUCUGAGAGGAUGACCAGCCACACUGGAGCUGAGACGCGUACCGGAAUCCUACGAGAGGCAGCCGUGCCAGAUAUUGCACAGUGGGAGCAAGCCUGAUGCUGGCAUGACGCGUGUAACAAGGAGGCAUUGGGGUUGUGAAGUACUUUCAGCGGUGAGGAAGGGAGAAAAGUUAAUACCUUAAGUCAUUGACGUUACUCGACGAAGAAGCACCGGCUAACUACGUG